GCACUCAUGGCCAAAUUGGAUAAGGCAUCGGCCUACGAAGCCGGGGAUUGCAGGUUCGAGUCCUGUUGUGUGCGUUUUUAGAAAAAAUAAAU
rnacentral:tRNA from 1 species